GCAAGGAAAGUGCUCCCUCAUGCUGACAGAUAAAAUUGGUUAAUGCUGAGAUAUUAAUUUCCUGCUUUAGCUGGGCAUUGUUUCCCAUGCCUCAGCAUCGCUCUGUGUCCUCUCCAAAGGUGCUGGAUAUGUCUCUGGCACCCCCUUCCCAUCCACCUACGGGGUCUUGCUCAGUUUGGAGCAGCAGAACUGUUUCAGAUCAGGUUUCCUCUCAGACAGUGUGUUGUUUUCACGUGGUACUGUAGCUGGUUUGGAUUGGCAGAAACUCAUGGAUAUUUUUUUUCUCUCUGCAGUUUGGUAUUCACAGCACAGUGUCAACCCUGGAGAUACCCUGGGUGGUGCUGAGUGUUGGGGAGAUCCUGCAGACCUGCUGCAGAGACCAGACUGAUAAAGUCUCCAGGCCUCUUGGUGAGGUGGAUCGUGGUGGGACAGUGCCUUUUUGCAAAAGCAGGGUCAGACAGAGAGCAGGAAGCUUUCCUCAUGGCUUCGUGUGAUACAAUACCCCAGAUGGUGUUUGUACUCAGACCAAAAAAGUGAAUAUGGACCCCUUGGAGUCUGAUAUGAGGGAAUUUGUCAGCAGAUAACAGGUCAGAAUGGCCCUAGGAUGGAGGUCUCCCCAGCUGAGGUUAGGAAUGCUGUGAGCCUGGAAGGCAAUUUUUCCAACAAGUUGAUUUAUGGAAUUGGCUGGCAAAGCCUUGAAUACAUUGAGAAAUACAACUUCUACAAUGGACCAACACAUCCUUAAGGAAUGAAUGGUUCCUCUUUAAACUGGGAGCUGUGCUCCUGGCUGCUCUGAGCACCUUGGGAACGGAGGAGGAUUAGGACCAGGCUGUGAACUGCGGUGUUUGUCCUGCUGUGUAAACCUGUAUGGUAAAAACAUGUCCAGAGGCUGGACUGAGAGGGCUGUGAAGCCACCAGCCCUGGCUGCUCCUGCCACCAGCUCUGCCCGGCCCCAGCGCUCUCACCAGCUCACCCAGCAGAGGGGAUCGAAGGGACCCAGCGCCAAAACCCAGGAGAGUUCUUCACUGAGACCUGCCCUGGAGUAGUUU